rnacentral:rRNA from 1 species
UCAUUAUUUAAUUAAAGUAGUAUUUUCAAAAAAACUCAUUUAUACUGGCGGUCUUAUUAUUUUAAAGAAACUCGCUUUAUAAUCGAUAAUACUCGUUAAUUUUAACUUGAUAUAAAAAUUUAUAUACCGCCGUUAUAACAGACUCUAUUAAAUCUACUACUCACAUACUUCACUAAACAAAAAAUCAGGUCAAGGUGUAAUCCAUAAUCAAGAAUAAGUAAGUUACAUUAAGAUAAAACUUAAGGAUGAAAUAAAACAAUUACUUCUAAAAAAGAAUUUAUCUGUACAUUUAAAUUAAAAUUUUACAUAGAAUUAUUAUAUUAAGACGC